UUGGAUGUGAAAGCCCAGGGCUCAACCUUGGAACUGCAUUCAAAACUGGCGAACUAGAGUAUGGUAGAGGUGAGUGGAAUUUCCUGUGUAGCGGUGAAAUGCGUAGAGAUGGGAAGGAACAUCAGUGGCGAAGGCGACUCACUGGACCAAUACUGACACUGAGGUACGAAAGCGUGGGUAGCAAACAGGAUUAGAUACCCUGGUAGUCCACGCCGUAAACGAUGUCUACUAGCCGUUGGGGUCCUUGAGACUUUAGUGGCGCAGCUAACGCACUAAGUAGACCGCCUGGGGAGUACGGUCGCAAGAUUAAAACUCAAAUGAAUUGACGGGGGCCCGCACAAGCGGUGGAGCAUGUGGUUUAAUUCGAAGCAACGCGAAGAACCUUACCUACUCUUGACAUCCAGAGAAUUUAGCAGAGAUGCUUUAGUGCCUUCGGGAACUCUGAGACAGGUGCUGCAUGGCUGUCGUCAGCUCGUGUUGUGAAAUGUUGGGUUAAGUCCCGUAACGAGCGCAACCCUUGUCCUUAGUUACUAACAUUAAGUUGAGAACUCUAAGGAGACUGCCGGUGACAAACCGGAGGAAGGCGGGGACGACGUCAAGUCAUCAUGGCCCUUACGAGUAGGGCUACACACGUGCUACAAUGGCCAGUACAAAGGGUUGCCAAGCCGCGAGGUGGAGCUAAUCCCAGAAAGCUGGUCGUAGUCCGGAUCGGAGUCUGCAACUCGACUCCGUGAAGUCGGAAUCGCUAGUAAUCGUGAAUCAGAAUGUCACGGUGAAUACGUUCCUAGGGCCUUGUACACACCCCCCGUCACGCCACGGGAGUGGCUCUUCCGUUUAAUCGAGGGUCUGUAAGUCGUAACAGCGUAACCACUAGAGUUA
rnacentral:rRNA from 1 species